CCUACGGGAGGCUGCAGUCGAGAAUCAUUCACAAUGGGGGAAACCCUGAUGGUGCGACGCCGCGUGGGGGAAUGAAGGUCUUCGGAUUGUAAACCCCUGUCAUGUGGGAGCAAAUUAAAAAGAUAGUACCACAAGAGGAAGAGACGGCUAACUCUGUGCCAGCAGCCGCGGUAAUACAGAGGUCUCAAGCGUUGUUCGGAAUCACUGGGCGUAAAGCGUGCGUAGGCUGUUUCGUAAGUCGUGUGUGAAAGGCGCGGGCUCAACCCGCGGACGGCACAUGAUACUGCGAGACUAGAGUAAGGGAGGGGUAACCGGAAUUCUCGGUGUAGCAGUGAAAUGCGUAGAUAUCGAGAGGAACACUCGUGGCGAAGGCGGGUUCCUGGACAUUAACUGACGCUGAGGCACGAAGGCCAGGGGAGCGAAAGGGAUUAGAUACCCGUGUAGUC
rnacentral:rRNA from 1 species